GAUGAACGCUAGCUACAGGCUUAACACAUGCAAGUCGAGGGACCGGCGCACGGGAGAGUAACACGUAUCCAACCUGCCCGUUACUCGGGGAUAGCCUUUCGAAAGAAAGAUUAAUACCCGAUAUAAAGGAUGGGGAUGCGUUCCGUUAGGUUGUUGGGAAGGUAACGGCCCACGAAGCCGUCGAUGGAUAGGGGUUCGGAGAGGCAGUUCCACCACAUUGGAACUGCGAUACGGUCUAAACUCCUACGCGAGGCUGCAGUGUGGAAUAUUGGGCAAUGGGCGUUAGCCUGAACCAGCCAAGUAGCGUGAAGGAUUAAGGCUUUGUGGUCUUAAACUACUUUUAUAUAAGAAUCGGUAUUAUAAGAAUAAGGAUCGGCUAACUCCGUGCCAGCAGCCGCGGUAAUAC
rnacentral:rRNA from 1 species